rnacentral:lncRNA from 1 species
GUCAGGCCCCAAAGCUCUAUCUCUUAAUCUUCGUUCACCAUCGCAUGUGCUACGUCACUUCGUUCACCAAAUAGGAUGACUACAGCAGUAAGCGCCGCAAAUAGCAUUAUUCCAGCACAAAAUAGAAAGUGAGCUCAACUUCCACUUACUUAUGCUUCCAAUUAUUUGUUAAUUGGCUUAACUUAAGUAAUUACAUGUAGGCUGCCUUUGUUUACUUUUAUAUGAUUAGGGAAUAAGAUUAUAUGAUAUAAGAUUAAGAGAGAUUGGAGUUCUGCACUAUGUUGUAUUUCAAAAAAAUUAGUUAAAAAGAAAUGUGAAGUUACUCAUAUGUAACUUUUUCUGCAAACGUAAAUUAGAAAACUUAAUUUUCUUUUACAUUAGAUAAAAAUUAUUUUAAAGUAAUCCUCGGCAACCCUUAAUUUCCUGACAAAUGAUUGUCAAUUUGUCGUGUUUCCAUCAUAUGGACAAUUGGAUAAUUGAAUUAAGUCCCAGCAAGAUUAGUACAUGAUUGAAUUAUUUCCCCCUUCCCCCCCUCUCUGUGCGGAAUUACAUCCAUUAGUACUUGAGUUUCUAAUGAGUGUAUAUAGACGAUGGUAAGGAAGUUAAAAACAAGUGAUAAUGCAUGCAUAUAAAUUUCCUACGUCAUCGAAACCCUGAAUUUUACAAUUCUUCAAAGUUGUCCAUGGUUACUUUUAAGAGCUAAUCUUUGCUUGAUGCAAAUAUACCAAGUCUUGUUAUAUCAUCGAGCUGUUUAUCGUGUGUUGUAGAUUUUAUUUUUGAAAGUGUACGGAUCGUAACAAGUAGUAAAUAGUUCAGAUUGUCGAUCCCACGAGGACUACAUUCUAGCACUUAAUUCAAAUUUUCUUUAACCACUAUUUGAUGAGAUAAAAACUCGUAAAAUUUGAGAUUUAAAUAAAAAUACGAGAAAAUAAGUGAAUGCACGAUUAGUUGGAAAAUCAAAUAAUGAAUGGACGUUAGACAGAAUAAUUUCACAUAUUGGUCACCUUUACAUCUUAAAUCAAAAUUCACAUCUAAUGUAGUGUUAGGUCGAAUUCUUCUAUUGUAUUCAAUUUACCCUUCUCGAGUUCUCAUUGAGUCUAUUUAACUAAUUAAAUUACAUAUCUCUAUGCAAAUCCAACUUAGUUAAACGAGUUCUUUGUCCUAGGAAUUCAAUUAUGAUCACAAUAAUUGGUAUAUGUAUCUCUACUCGUUAUACCAAUUUACCGAAUUUUACUAUAUGGCCUAAAUCUUAAACCCAUAUUUCUAUUCAUAAAGGAUUUACAAAAUUCAUCAAAUUAGUGAUCUAAUAAUUUAAUGCAUCCAAUCCAUAGCAAAAUCAACACAUCUUAAUAAAAAAAAAUGAAGGAUCUCAACUGAUUACAUUAUUCACCAUAAAAAUGAUUUAGCUAGUCAUAAUGAAAAAAAGAAAAAUCGUAAGUUGUCAUAGAAUACAUCAUUAGAUUUUGUAUUACAUGUGUAGAAGAAAAAGUAGAUCUUGCCCCAAGAAUUUCUUCUUUUUCCAAUCGAUGCUUUACACCUUGAAUUUCUCGAUGUUUUCUCCCUUGAAUUUCUCCUUUGGUUCUCCAAUUCUGUUCUAUUGUCUCUCAAUGUGUGAAUACCCCUCAAUUCUCUUCUCUAAGGUUGUAUUUAUGACUUAUUCAAGACUUAGAAGAGUUUUAUUGAGUUGGGCUUUUAAAAAGAUGAAUUUCACUUCAAAACCCUAUUUGACGGUAGUGAGGUGCUUAGAAACUGCAAUUGGGCCCCUGAGCGUUGAAUUCCAGAGAAAAAUCAGAAACAUAGUGCUUGGGUGUUGUCAUCAACUUUGAUUGUACUACACAACAUUCAAUCUUUUUGCCAUAACAUUUUUUUUGAUAUCCGAUUGAGGCGAUUCAAGAUGCGUUGAAAAUCUAACUCAAAGGGCUACAACUUUUCUUUAGAUACCAUUUUCAAAUUCAAUCAUUUACCAUGUCAAAAAUCGGUAUAAAUAUGAGUAUGAAAACUGUGCAUAUAUUUUUUCGGUUGAAACUUGAUGUGUAAUCAUACUUUGAUUAUAUUUCAUCAUUUUGAUGUCUUUCUUUAUCCAAUCGACUUCGAGCACUCUUAAAUCUUCAUUGUGAGGUCUAACAUAACUUUUGAGUAUUUACAUUUUGGCCCCCCAAACUUUGGAUCUUACUCUUCUUCCGAGUUUCUUGUACCAUCAUUGAAUUUUACCUAUUUAACAUCAAAUGCAACAAUUUAGACCAUAAUUCAUCCGAGAAGUAACUAAAUAUCAUCGUUUUAAGGUCUUAAAUAAGUGUAUAAAAUACACGUAUCAAAUACCCAAAAACUUAAACAUUUGUUUAAAACUAUCAUAUAAAUAACUAAGAACACACAAGCAUGCAAAAUAUAAUUAGUUCGACAAUCAAAGUUUUUUACCUCAGAAUUCGAGAUUUUGAUGUUUAUUCUACAAACAUGCUUCAUGUCACAAUACAAAAUAAAUAUCUACUCUUCCAAUGCAAACCCAGUGUGCGUGUGUGUGAAGAAUUAAGUAAUCCAUCAUGACUACACAAGUUGUUUCAACUCUCGAUCCUCUGCAGUUAUAUAUCCUUACAUUUCUCGUGUGAUUCACACACCCCGAAAUUUAUUCUUUUUUUUUUUUUAUCAUUCCUAGUGUGUAAUAUAAGGUGAAUAUUUCAUUGCUAUCCUCAUCCUCAGCUUCAUCUUUGAUUGCCUUCUAAAUUAUCCUUGUAGCGAGCUUUAGGCUGAUGACUCCCAAGUCAAAUGACUUUAAGGCACCAUGUUUUAAGAUACCCUUACAGGCUUAAUUACUCGAGUCAUGAAGAUUUCAAAGAAAAGUUUUUAGAUUUCAAAUGUAUAUGCAUUGAUUAGUGCGAUGCCUCUAUCACAUACUUAUUCAAACAAAUUGACAUUCAACUUAAGACUUUUGCCUUGUUUUAUCAUGUUAGUCUAAGACAGUCCACACAUAAGUUUUCGCACAUAGAAUCCAAAUUCACAUCUGUAUAUUCCUACAACUGUAAAGUCACCCCCAAACUAUACUAACUUUGGUCUAAGGAUAAAUAAUUUACAAUGGUUUAGAUAAAGCAUCUAUGUCCAAUUAAAUCAACAUAUUUAACAAAUGAAUCAACUCGUUUCAUCAUAACGUCAAACUCAAUUCUAGUGCACAUAUAGUAUCAAUUUUUGUAAGAUUAGGUUUCAAUCAAUCUAGCACGCAUCAUAUCCACAGUUCAUAAAUCAACAGCAAAUCUCAAAGUAAAUCAUCAUUGUCAGCCAUAUUGUCCAACUCACACAAAAAUCUAGGUAAGCAAUUAAUAAUGUACCCCCCAAACUUAAGCUAAACACUGUCCUCAAUAUGAAAUUUAAAGGAAAAUGAGGAGGCUUCCUUGAAAUGUCAGUAUUACCUAUAAUGUUGUGGUGCCUUGGUGUUGAAUUUAAUCAACUUUUCUUCCAUAUUCUCCACCAAACUUGAGAUUUAUCCCGGGUUCUCCUUAUCAAUAGUGGUUUAAGUGUUUUGCGAUGUCAUGUCCUUGGAAAAUCAAUUUUGAAAUAUUAGAUGCAUGGAACAAGAUUUACUUAGCUCAAAUAUCUAAUAACCAACUUAGUUACUUAAUGACCUAAGGGUAAAAGGGAUAUGGGCGAUGACUCCUAAAUAGACUAAUAAAUAAAUUAAAAUAUCUUAUAACUUGAAAAUAAAAUAAAUAAAAGAAGAAAGCUUAAGUUGCCUCCCAAUAAGUGCUUCUUUAAAGUCAUUAGCUUGACUUUUGCACAAGUGAUUCAUGGCACUUUGAAUAUGGUUUUGAAGGUUCUGCUUAGCUUGCUUAAUUUGAUUUUAGUCCAUAUUUCACACAUCCUCCAAAAUCGUGCUUUGUUAUUUUAAAUAUGAUAUGACUUGCUUGAAUUGCUCAAUUCGAACUCAACUAAGAAUGCUUCAAUUUUUUCAUCAACUUUAAUCACAAAAUCAAUGAAGUUGGAGGUUUGCAUGCUAAUCACAUCUUCUUUGAAUGCGACUAAUUCAUUUGGAUCCUUCGUGAUUAAUUUAUUCGUUUCUACAUGUUCUUCUUCUUUAGUUGAUUCCUCAGGUUAAGUAAUGAAGAGAUCUUCCGUUGGCAUAUUACUUGGCUUUUCCGAAAUUAUUUGAUCUUCAAUUCUUUCAUCUUUGUCCAUGAUGAUGUCUCCCGUAAUCAUUUCACUGUAAUCAGAUUAUUCUUCAUAUGGAUAAUCAAAGAUAUAUUUCCUCACUUCCAUUGGAGUUGCCAAUAACAAGCAAUCUUUAGCAUAAUGAAUUGCACCACAAUAUUCACAAGUCGGUCUAAUCUCCCCAUAAACAAUAGAUUUGAUAUUUAAUCCUUUAAGGAAGCCAUCCUUAUCAAAUUCAAUAGGCUGAUUGUAUCCAUACCUUUUAAGUUCUUGUCUAAAGAGAACUUCUCCAAAGAGCAUUUCACAUUCAUUUAAGUCGGGAUCAAUUAUUGUGAAUUUUUUUGACAUCUUGUUGCUUUUUAUUCCUUAUCAAAGGAGGAAAGAAAAAUAAAUAGAUCAAUUGAAAAAAUUAAGAAAGACAAAAAAAUCAAAUAAAAGCAAGAAAUAAUUAAAAUCAAUAUUAAAUAAAAAUAGUCUCCUGCAACGACGCCAAAAACUUGUUGUCAAUUUUGUAUCCCGCAAGCAUACGGAUCGUAACAAGUAAUCGUUCCCACAAGGACUACUAUUUAACAAUUGGUUCAAUUAUUCCUAACUUUAAUUUGAUUGAAAACAAACGAAGAAUUAGAUGUUGUGAUUUUUGAUACAACUAUUUGAAAAUAUGUGUGGAUGCACACAAAGAGUGAUUUAAAACUUAAAUAGUGAACAAAUAUUAGGGUAGAAUAAUUUCACCAAUUGGUCACAUUUACAUCUUAAAUUAAGAUUCACAUCUAAUGUAGUCUUUGGUCGAAUUCUCCUAUUAUAUUCAUUUUACCCCUCACGAGUUCUUAUUGAACUUAUUUAACUAAUUAAAUUUCAUAUCUAUAUGCAAAUCCAACUUAGUUGAUUCUUUGUCCUAGGAAUUCAACCGCAAUAAUUAGUAUAGGUAUGUCUACACAAUAUACCAAUUUAUCGAAUUUUACUAUAUCCCUAAUUGUAAAGGAUUCAUGAAAUCAUCAAAUUAGUGAUCAAAUAAUUUAAUGUAUUCAAUCCAUAGUAAAAUCAACACAUGAAAAAAUUAAAAAUCAAGAAUCUUAAUAAAAAAAUAUAAAGGAUCCCAAUUGGUUACAUUAUUCACCAUAACAAUAGAUUUAGCUAGUCAUAAUGAAAAAUGAAAGAUCUACAAAUUGCCAUAGAAUAUAUCAUUGGAUUUUGUAUCAAAUGUGUAGAAAAAGAGUAGAUCUUGCACCAAGAAUUUCUUCAUCUUCAAUUGAUGCUUUACAUUCUGAAUUUCUCGAUGUUUUCUCCCUUGAAUUCAUCCUUUGAUUCUCCAAUUGUGUUCUCUUACCUCUCAAUGUGUGAAUUCCCCCUCAAUUCCCUUGUCUGAAGUUGUAUUUAUGUCUUACUCCAACCUUAGAAGAGUUUUAAUUGAGUUGGGCGUUUAGAAAGAUUAAUUUCACUUGAAAAUCCUAUUCGACGGCAGCAAGGCUCCUAGGCCCUGUGAUUGGGUGCCUGAGCUUUGACCUUCAGAAGAAAAAUCAAAAGCAUAGCGCUUGAGCGUUGUCGUCAGUUUUGAUUGCACUACAUAGUAUACAAUCUUUUUAUCAUAAUUUUUUCUUUCAAUGUUCAAUUGAGGCGAUUCAAGAUGUGUUGGAAAGCUAACUCAAAGGGUUACAACAUUUUUUCAGGUAUCAUUUUCAAAUUCGAUCAUUUGCUAUGUCAAAAUUAGGUCUCAAUAUGAGUAUGAAAACUUUACAUAAUUUUUUUGGUUGGAACUUAAUGUGUGAUUAUACUUUGAUUAUAUUUCAUCUCUUUGAUGUCCUUCUUUAUCCAAUUGACCCUGAGCACUCUUGAAUCUUCAUCGUGAGGUCCAACAGAACUUUUGAGUAUUUACAUUUUGGUCCCCGAAAUUUGGAUCUUACUAUUCUUCCGAGUUUCUUGUACCAUUAUUGAAUUUUACCUAUUUAACACCAAAUGCAGCAAUUUGGAGCAUAGUUCAUCCAAGAAGUAACUAAAUAUUAUCGUUUUAAGGUCUUGAAUAAGUAUAUAAAAUACUUUUAUCAUCGUGUAUCCUAUAUACAAUCUCAAUAAUGAGACAAAAAAAUCUAUCUUUAAAGAUAUGUUAAGAAAUUUAGACGUAAAUAUGGAAUUAACACAAUAACAAACAACAUGUCACUUUUAUUGUCUCUCGGUGACUAAGGUAAUUAAUCAAAUCAAUGUUGGUAUUUGGUUUAAAGAUUGAAAAUUUUAGUUAAGUACAAACUUGAAAAUGUUUUUGUGUUGAGUUCAACCAAAUAUUCGGACUUGAUUAGAUAAUCAAAUUAUAAAAAUAAAUAGACUAAAUUGUUCUACUCUUCUAGUAUAUAGUCGUAGUAUAUUUAAAAUCUCAACCAAUUUCCCAUGAAUGAGAAAUUGUGGUCAAAAUUUGAAAGAAAAAAAGAGGAAAAAUUAUAUAGCACUAUCGCUGGAAUAGUAGGCUAGCACCAAGUGAGCUGCAAAGCUAUCACUCAAGCUACAAGCUAGCAAUAGACAGUAUUUCUAUUGAAAAUAUGGCCCUGGCACUCGAGCGAGAGGCUAACGACAACAAGGUAUGCAUACCUUCUUGAAGGUUACUGAAUUUUAGGGCAUGUUUCUUCACACAACCUCUUCUCUUCUAUAAAUAGGACACUUUGGCCAUCCAUUAUGCAUCCAAUAUCAUUUUGCAUUAAGCAUUAAAUCAAAAAUGUCUUGCAAAACCUCUUCAAAAAUCAUUCCAAAAUUAAUUUCUUGUAGAGAGAAAAAAUUUUGUUCGAGUCCGAUGUUGCUUAUGGUUUUAAAUGCUUCCACCACAAGUAAUAUCCGUUUUAUUUUGGGAGACAAGUGCUUUAAUCUGUUAACACCAUUGUGGGACAAUUUUAUCUUAAGGAAAAAGUGUUAAUCACUUGCCUUGAAUUUUGUUUCCUCACUUUCAUUUCAUUGCAAGGUUACAUAGAGUUUAAUUGCACUCCUGAGAAUUAAAUUUAACAAGUAUUUUGUAUAUGGACAAACAACCAUUUCCCUACACAUCUUCCCAACAAUCUUAAGACAAAUAUUUUGUGAUUUUUUGUUGAAAAAAAACCCUUUCUUCAUCUUUUAAUCAACCUUCCAUUUCCUUUUGUUUUCUUUUUUGUGCAUUGAACUUCUAUUUAUGUAAUCUAAAUAAAUACCGUUGAAACUAUUUUGAGUCAAGCAAUGAAUGAUACAAAUCAUGUUCCGCCUUUGACUAUACUAGUAUCAAACUCUCAUAUCCCAUAUGAGGAAAUAUCGAAAAAGUUUAGAGGUGUUGAUUUCAAAAAAUAGUAAUAAAAGAUGUUGUUCUAUCUUACUACUUUGAAUUUAUCAAAGUUCUUAAAAGAGACCACUACUAUAAUACAAGAGGGAAAAAAUAAUCGUGAGUCAAUUAUUAAAUUGGAUACUUGGGAACACUCGGAUUUCCUUUAUGAAAACUAAAUUCUAAAUGAAUUGGACAAUACACUUUAUGGAGUGUACAGUUCGAAGGACUUGGUCAAGGAUUUAUGGGAGUUAUUGAAGAAGAAAUACAAAAUUGAAGAUGCCGAGACAAAGAAGUUCAUUUUCAGCAAGUAUUUUGUAACGGCUCGGAAAAUUUUAUAGAAUGAAAUUUAUUUGUUUAUACGUUAUAUUUAGAAACGUUGGGGACUAAAAUGAAAUAGGUUUUAAACUCCUAUUUUAUUUAUGUCAAAUAAUUAGAUAUUGAUGGAACGAGAUUUAAUAUAUCAAUAUUGGACUCAUUUCGUAGGUCGUAAUUAAUUAGAAGUCUUCUACUUGAGAAAAACUAAUUUGGAUAUGUUAAGCCUAAGAAAUUGAAGUUUAAAGAAAUUAUCAUUUAUUAGUAUUUUAUUUAAAUUGGAAUUUGCAAGAGAGCCAGCCACAUGCAGUGGUAGAUCCAGCACUCGGCGAGCACAGGCGACUGCACUUACUAGAUCCAACGGGAAGUUUUUUGUUGACAAUAGAUAAAAAUUUUAGAUUAUAUAUCUGAUAGUACAUUUUAUUUCUUAACAUGUCUUGUAAUUCAGUUGGUUAGAGCUUCCACAUACAAAUUGAAUGCCCAAGGUUCAAAUGCCUUCUAAACCAUAUUAUUGUGCAAGUUUUCUAUUUUUACAAAUUUUUACCAAAACUGAUGCCAAUAAGGAGAAGAUUCGAUCGACCCUGUGACCUUUCUUUAAGAUUUACAAAACUUGACCUUCAUGGCACUUGUUAAGUUGUGGCAUGAAAUUAACGGAGUAAUAUAUAUUCCAUUUUAGUGGUUUUAAUGCAACAACAAGGAUUCGAAUCUUUGCUCUUCCUUUGAAUUAUACAAGAUAUGGACACUAUGUCAUUUGGUGAAUAUCAUUAUUAUUUAUAACAAAAUUAUAUAUGUUUAGUUUUAGCAAAAUAAUUAUUAUAUUUAAAUUUUAAUAUUUUAUUACGCUCGAUGAUCGAUGACCACCCGUGCUCACUGAAAAUUCUGGAUUUGCCACGUGCCACGUAUAGGUAUGUACAAAUUCUGCUUUUAGAUGUUAGUUGUUGGUCAUGAACAGUUGCGGAUGCAGGUACUGGCCAGCUAGGGCGGCCGCCCUAGUUGGAUUCGUCGAAACCGUCGAUCGUCGGGCGUCUCUCAGUGGUAAGUCUCAGAUGAUAGAUUUUGCCACCCUAGCUGAAUUCCUUUGUUGUUGGUGGUUGUGUUGGCUGUUGGAGUAUUGCUGUGUUGGGCCACAUAUUUUUAAAUCAGGCCCAAAUUAAAAAGCCUAAAUCAGCAUUCACCCAUUAUAGAUCAUAAGGUCUCUUCCAGUCCACUACAAGUACAGCAGAGGACAGACCGACAGAGGCAAUGGAGUCUCCAGCGACAAGCAACACUUUCCCGAAUCAGUCCUAUUUCUGAUUUCCUUCCCGUUAAUUAAAUCGGUAGCAAGAGAGAUCAAAGAAGAGCAAACCCUUCAUGAGUUCUUCCCCCAAUUCCUUCCCGUUAUUUAAUUUUUCUUACAUUAUUUACAUGUUUUCCCCCCAAUUCCUUUCCCAAAAUCACCAUUCAUUCUCCCAUUAUUUACAUUUUUUUUCAUGGCAUAUUUAUUGUUUAAUUAUUGGUUUUUUAGUAGUUUAUUAUGCUCUAUGUUUGAUUUUUAGGGUUUUGAAUUGUUUCGGCUUCGAUUCGAGGCUUACUAUUUGGGGAUUUUGUUACAAAUUAUUGAAAGUUUUUGUAAUGCCAAAGUGAUCCAAUGCUUAUUAUCAACUCAAAUGACUUUUGAAGCCUUAAAGUGAGUUUCAAUUGAAGAUGAAAGUAGAUCAAAGUUUAAUUAUCUAUUUUAUUUCUACGUUCUUUACUACUUUUGGAGCAGAAGUUUUGAAAAGUUUGGUUAACUUAGCCUAAUCGAGUGUUGUUUCCGACAUAAGAGCAUAUCUUAUUACAUGCCACUAGGUCAAACAUUUGAAAAGUACUUGUGAGCUAGUGAAAAGGAGAACAUGUUAAGAUGGAAAAUCUUUUUCGUAUGAACUUGAACUUCUUGAAUUUGGCAGUGGAAUGAAUACAUGUUAUUUAUUAUAAUAGUAUAUCUAUUUAAUGUGUCAUUGAUGAUUUUUACCAAAUUGGGGUGGUCAAUGCUACAACUAAUUGUACUUGCUUGACUUUCUUUGUACGUCUGUCAUUUGAUUCAUUUCUUUCGCAUGAGUUUCGAUGGUUGAUCAUAUCUUGACUUUCUAAUUAAAAUUUCACGUGUAAAUAUCUAGCAUCUUAAAAUGUUAAAUGGGCUAGCCUUAAAUGGCUUUUCAACGAUUGACCACCGACCGAAUCGAGCUUUUAAUAUCGUUGAUUGUUGACGGUCAACGGUCAAAGUCAACCUCCACCCUUGCUGAACAUUGAUGCUGGA